rnacentral:rRNA from 1 species
AGAGUUUGAUCCUGGCUCAGAACGAACGCUGGCGGCGUGCUUAACACAUGCAAGUCUGACGCUGUUCGACAGGCUCACAGUGGAUCCUUAAGAGGGGUUUACCGUGAGCUUGUCGAACGGAGUGGCGGACGGGUGAGUAACACGUAGGUAACCUACCCUUAAGCCGGGGACAACUCAGGGAAACUUGAGCUAAUACCCGAUAAGACCACGGACUGAGAUGUUAGUGGUAAAAGGAGCGAUUCACUUAGGGAUGGGCCUGCGGCCUAUCAGGUAGUUGGUGAGGUAAUGGCUCACCAAGCCUAAGACGGGUAGCCGGGCUGAGAGGCCGGACGGCCACACUGGAACUGAGAUACGGUCCAGACUCCUACGGGAGGCAGCAGUGGGGAAUAUUGCGCAAUGGGGGAAACCCUGACGCAGCGACGCCGCGUGGAGGAUGAAGGUCUUCGGGUUGUAAACUCCUUUUCUCAGGGAAAAUGAUGAUGGUACCUGAGGAAUAAGCCACGGCUAACUCUGUGCCAGCAGCCGCGGUAAGACAGAGGUGGCAAGCGUUGUUCGGAAUUACUGGGCUUAAAGGGCGAGUAGGCGGUGGAGUAAGUCUGAGGUGGAAUCCUAUGGCUUAACCAUAGAACUGCCUUAGAAACUGUUUUACUUGAGUCAGUGAGGGGAGGGCGGAAUUCCUGGUGUAGCGGUGAAAUGCGUAGAUAUCAGGAGGAAGGCCUGUGGCGAAGGCGGCCCUCUGGCACUGAACUGACGCUGAGGCGCGAAAGCGUGGGUAGCAAACAGGAUUAGAUACCCUGGUAGUCC